UUGGGGCAGCGGUAUUAAAUUACGUCGUAUCUUACUGGCUACACCAGGUUGGGUUUAGUUAAGCAGAGCGGUUAUUGAACUUAAUAGCAAAUCACGGUGAACUGACGCUGGUAACCAGCUUUUUGGUAAACAGUACUAACGUUAGAGAUACUAGUGCUACGUAAUUUUUAUCGGCGAAGGAACAACGUUCCAGGUCAUGUUGCACCUUUAAGUCGACGAAACAGUGCGUAGCAAGUGAUUCACAAGAACUUCUCAUAGGUGUAAUCAGUAACAUUGUUGAAUCAUCAUCAGUAGUGAAUUCUACUUAUUUGGCUUCUAGACGGAGCAUUUUAACUAUUUUCCCGCUUUUAGAGGAUUUCUCCGAACAUCUCAGUGAAGCAGAGGAGAACGGCAAGAUGGCUGACAGUACGUAACCAACUGUGACCGCGAAAAAAUUUUACAUUUUAACGUUAACAAUUAAACACCGAAAUUAAUUUAAAUGCGAUGUUUGGUUUUUUUAACUGCUGAACUCUUUAAGUGCAUUAAUAGCAACCUACGAGGACAGCAUUUCAACUAUAAAGUCGUCCUACAUGCCACGUAUACACAGCGAACACACAGAGGACAGGGAUGCCACCUCCGCAGCUGUUGUGAACGUCGAGGUUGGGGCGAAGACACGGGCGCUGCCUCGCUACCUGCUGCUAAUCCGCUGCCCGGAGCAAACGCAUGCUAUUGUGGCUCCAUUAGCCUCCACAGUAGAACCGACGCGUCUGGUCAGCCGACAGGGCAAGCCUGUGUGAUGAAUGGGGUCACCACGCGGCAGUGGUCAUCGACCCUGAGCCAACUGACAUGAAAUGUUUGUUGAAUACACGUGAAAGACACUGGAAUUUACAUAAAUUUAGACAUGAUAUCAGUCGUGUAAGGGAGAGAGUUAACAACAACUUGCUACAGAGAUGAGGGCCGCCGAUUAGACGAUGGCUACCCGGGCUUCUGGUCAGAUCUGUCCUGUUCUGCUGCUCUGUGGUACCCCAGGGCUACCUCUGAUGUUACUUGUUUGGUAGUAACCCCACGUCUGCCCAAUGCUUCUAGCUCGUCUUGCACGCCUACUCAGCCUAGUGCUCUCGCUGAUAACCACCGUAUAGAGUCAUGCUGCCACAGCCGCAAUUCUAUUCACACAGGUUUUCAAACUACCAUGUCUCAGUGAUGUCUUAAGACGGCACAUAUAUUACAGUCUUUAUGAUUGUUGUGAUGGUAUUUGCACAGAAACGAAGGUAAUCGGGUAACAGACUGAAUAAAUCAUAAUUAUACUAUUACUUUGUAUAGAGCCGCCAUAGACCGUGGGUUUCUUGUACCAAAAUACCUAAAAGGUAUACCUGAACAACCUUUGAAAAUUUGCUGCUUGAGUUCUAGUUCGAGUUGGGACUUAAAUAGUGGAAACUAUUUAUUCACAGCCGAUACAAAAGAGUUACAUGUUUACACCUGUUACUGUCCUUCAAAAUAGUCACCAGCGUUGUGUAGAAC